AAAGUGCUAGGAUUACAGGCGUGAGUCACCGUGCCUGGCCCCCAUGACCUUUUCGAAGUCCCCUAGUAUGCCUUUACACCCAUUUCUAGAAUGAUUCCCAACAUUCCUUCAUUUAUUCCUUUAUUUAUUGAAUAAAUAAUUAUUAAAUGCUUGUCAUGUAUGUUCCAGGCUUUGCUCUAGUAAUUUCGGAUAUAUCAAUGAACAAAGCAGGAAAGAAAAAAAAAAAAGGCAAAAUCUCUGCCUUCCGGGAGCUCACAUUCCCACAGGAGUCACAGGAAACAGCCAAUGACCAGUAAGCAUCACAAAGAAGUCAUGCCAAAGAACCAGACAAAUAGCUGGAAGGAAGAGGGGAACUCCUUUGUGACGCCAAAUGGGCCAAAGGGUCGCUGGGAAAACUAAGCCUUACUGUCCAUCUUGCCUUCAGGAUAAUGUGAAAUAUGGCCUAAUUUUUGAAGUUUUUUUCUUAGAAAUUUUACUGAAUCCAAAAUAAAACAAGAAGAUCAUGAGUCCAGAAUUCUCUUUUCUCAACACUAGAUGGCAGUAGAGUUAAAGAAAAAAAUCCCAGCAGUUCUUUGUACAGGGAUUUGGUGAUUUUUCCCAUAAAGCUGCGAUGAGGAUGAACUCAGAGCAAAAUCUAUAAUAUUAUGUGUCCAUUAACAUGAUGAUGACAUGUGAAAAUGUUUAUGGAUGAAUUUUAAAUUAAAAUGUCAAGCUAUAAAAUUUUAUAUGGAGUAAGAUCUCAUCUUGGUUGGAAGAAAAACACAUUCUGGAGGAACUAAAAAUAAAAGGGGGAGUUUUAUACCUGGUAUACUAUUUGUAGCCUUCGUAGAGGGUUCUCCAUUCUAGUCACACCGAUUUCCUCUCUGCUGCAGACAUUGGACACUGGCCUAGUGUUCCAGAAGCUCUGAGUUCAGAGUCCUCAUGUACUAAUGCCAGCAACAGUCAGUUUCACAGUGCCUCUGGCCAGCUGCACUCUUAUGCAACUCAACAAUUUCUCACCUUUUCUCCUUUUAAAAACAAUAUAAGCAACAAAACCACCCAGCUCCCACUGCUGCAUAACCCAGAAGUAUUGGAAAGAUCACUUCAUACAAUUCUUGAGGCAAUCCUGCAGGAUCAAGCAAUUAGGUCCUUGGAGUGGUGGCCAGCUCAUCAAAGCCUCUUUGUACUGGUGCUUCCCCUGAUCCUGUUUUGUUCCCUUGUCCCUCUUUCCUGCUCCUAGCUAGGAUCACACUCCCCAAUAAAGUUUUUGAACAAUGACCUGUGUUUAGGCUACAUCUUUCUGGGGAACUUGCACCAAAACUCCAUUACAUACCCAGCUUACCUUUGUCCUUUAUUAAAAUGCGUAAUCUGCACACAAAAUAGAUUUUUAUGAUAAAAUAUGUUACAAUUUUUAUUUGUUUACUUCCUCUUUCUUGGACUCAGUUUCUUUCCCUUUAAAAAUCUGCUACCUAGCUCUCAGAUUCUAUGUCCUUCAUUCAAAUAUUUGAGUUUUUACUAUGGGACAUGCACAUAGUCUGCUAGAAGUUGGUAAACUAUAGUUGUCUUAGUCCAUUCACAUUGCUACAACA
rnacentral:lncRNA from 1 species